rnacentral:rRNA from 1 species
GACGAACGCUGGCGGCGUGCUUAACACAUGCAAGUCGAACGGUGAAGCGCCUUCCUUUUUGGUGGGUGUGGAUGAGUGGCGAACGGGUGAGUAACACGUGAGUAACCUGCCCCCUUCUUCUGGAUAACCGCAUGAAAGUGUGGCUAAUACGGGAUAUUCUGGGUCUGUCGCAUGAUGGGUCUGGGAAAGAUAUUGUUUCGGUGGGGGUUGGGCUCGCGGCCUAUCAGCUUGUUGGUGGGGUGAUGGCCUACCAAGGCGGUGACGGGUAGCCGGCCUGAGAGGGUGGACGGUCACACUGGGACUGAGACACGGCCCAGACUCCUACGGGAGGCAGCAGUGGGGAAUAUUGCACAAUGGGCGCAAGCCUGAUGCAGCGACGCCGCGUGAGGGAUGGAGGCCUUCGGGUUGUGAACCUCUUUCGCCAGUGAAGCAGGCCUGCCUCGUUUGUGGGUGGGUUGACGGUAGCUGGAUAAGAAGCGCCGGCUAACUACGUG